rnacentral:tRNA from 2 species
GGGCAGGUAGCGAAGUGGUUAAACGCAUCAGACUGUAAAUCUGACGGCACACGCCUUCGGAGGUUCGAAUCCUUCCCUGCCCA